rnacentral:lncRNA from 1 species
GUUAAAUUGAUUAAACGUCUGUUAAUUUUUUUUCAUGUUUUUUCCAACGUGGCUGGUAAAAGAAUAAAGAAAAAGAAAAGAAAAUGACAUGAGUUGUACUGUGCUUACGUGGUUUAAUAUAUUCAUAAUUUCUCUUCUUUCUUUUUUAUCACCCAGUAUUAGUAACACCUUCAUAAUCAAAGAGAAGCUAGCUAGUACCUACUACACCUCCACUAAGAAAUAGACAAAAGAAAAGACAAGAGCAAGGAAUUUCACUCCCUCCUACCUUCACCCGCAACGGAACCCCUGAAUCAUCACGAACCAACAUCAAAGAACUCACCUACGGCGACAGGGAAAUUCUUACCCCAUCCGGCUCAUCACUUUCUUCUUGCUAAUUAGUGACGGAGAAGGAACAAAACAUAACUU